AUGUCUCACUGCCACUGUUGUGUGUGCCCUGUCCAUUGUAGCUUGUUGUUAGGAAUGUUGAUCUAUGUGAACAUUGGUUGUGUAUUGUACUGUGCUGCUCUCUUCUCUUCUCUUCUCCACCGUUGCAAUUUGGCCUCUUCGCAAAGCUGGUCGCUGAAGCUGCGCAGGGAAAGAGCUUCAAAAGAUGAAUUUCAGUUCAAAUCCGAUGGCCCAAGUGAAAUCUCUCCUUAUAAGUGUAAACCGGGAGGAGGCACAGCGGCUUCGAGGAUCAGCGUCUCGCUGAUGAUGGGAGGCAACAGCGUUUCUAUUAUUUGCCUAGAUUUUCGUGUUUGUACAUGUCACAAGGCCACAAGGAAAAAAGAAUCAGCCAAAGGCGCUCCCUGUGCUUAG
rnacentral:rRNA from 1 species